rnacentral:rRNA from 1 species
GAUGAACGCUGGCGGCGUGCCUAAUACAUGCAAGUCGAGCGAAUGGAUUAAGAGCUUGCUCUUAUGAAGUUAGCGGCGGACGGGUGAGUAACACGUGGGUAACCUGCCCAUAAGACUGGGAUAACUCCGGGAAACCGGGGCUAAUACCGGAUAACAUUUUGAACCGCAUGGUUCGAAAUUGAAAGGCGGCUUCGGCUGUCACUUAUGGAUGGACCCGCGUCGCAUUAGCUAGUUGGUGAGGUAACGGCUCACCAAGGCAACGAUGCCUAGCCGACCUGAGAGGGUGAUCGGCCACACUGGGACUGAGACACGGCCCAGACUCCUACGGGAGGCAGCAGUAGGGAAUCUCCCGCAAUGGACGAAAGUCUGACGGAGCAACGCCGCGCGAGUGAUGAAGGCUUUCGGGUCGUAAAACUCUGUUGUUAGGGAAGAACAAGUGCUAGUUGAAUAAGCUGGCACCUUGACGGUACCUAACCAGAAAGCCACGGCUAACUACGUGCCAGCCGCCGCAGUAA